rnacentral:rRNA from 1 species
UACGUAGGGGCCUAGCGUUGUCCGGAUUUAUUGGGCGUAAAGAGCUCGUAGGCGGUUUGGUAAGUCAGGUGUGAAAAUCCUCCACGGCUCAACGUGGAGGGGCCACCUGAUACUGCCAUGACUGGAGUCCGGUAGAGGAGUGUGGAAAUUCCCGGUGUAGCGGUGAAAUGCGCAGAUAUCGGGAGGAACACCCGUAGCGAAGGCGGCACUCUGGGCCGGUACUGACGCUGAGGAGCGAAAGCGUGGGGAGCAAACAGG